CAGCGGCUGGAUUGCACUGCUCGUUCCCAUGCACCACGGCAGACGGGAGCAGCUGGCUGGCAUCCUUCAGGAGCAGUGCUGCGCUGGCACAAGCUGUCCUCUCAGUGCACGGAGCAGCCGACCCGGUCACCUUUCCUGACAACACUCACAGCUCCACAGGAUCAGGCCCACGACAAGGACUAAAUCAUUCCCAGGUGUCUGCACACACGCUUGAACAAGGUUCACAGAAGUGGUUUCACACAAGAGGCUGCCCAGCCCCAGCUGUUUCCUCCCAUCUUGAUUUCAGAGUGAUUUCCAGAAUUAUUCCUAUUCCUUCAGCCAUUUUUCACCAGACCAGAAGUCGGUCCUGCUCUGCAGAAGUGGUUGUGCUGCUCUUUUCAUCCUCCCCAAGCUCAGCCAGUGCAGCUCUGCACCCUGGCACAGACACUAAGCCCGAGGGGAAUUUAGGAAAUUAACUGGCAGCCGUGGGGCUAUGGGGAAAGACUUUUCAGCAAAAUCAGCACCAGAUCUGAAGCAACAUUAAAAUCCUGACAGGACCAGGCACACUAAACAGAGCUGCAACCUGAGAACACCCAGCAAGAAAAUCCUCAAGGAUGGAUAUCUGAAGGUAAAUAAAAAGACCCUCUUCCUACCCUGUGCAAUUUUUUUAUGUAAGAAAAUGCUCUCAGGGUUUUCAAACUAAUGACAUGGAGGGCCUGAGUCACACGUACAGAGCUUUGGUUUAGAAAUACUAAUAUUUGUAUAGAACAGGCUGGCAGGGAGAGAAGAUAACAAUGGCUUUAAGCAUUAAUAAUGGCUUAUUUUUCUACUAAUAAUAAGAUUAAAGCACUUGGAAGCAGGUAAAACACCUACCUUGACAGCAGCCAUUGGAAACAGGGUGAGACGAGGCAGCUUAACAGCCAGGCAGAAUUACCAGUUGCAUCCCUUUGACAUUGAUGUAUCACCAGGGUGUGGAUUCAGUAAGAUUCAGGGAUUACAGGGCAGC